UGGGGAAUAUUGGACAAUGGGCGAAAGCCUGAUCCAGCAAUGCCGCGUGAGUGAUGAAGGCCUUAGGGUUGUAAAGCUCUUUUACCCGGGAUGAUAAUGACAGUACCGGGAGAAUAAGCUCCGGCUAACUUCGUGCCAGCAGCCGCGGUAAUACGAGGGGAGCUAGCGUUGUUCGGAAUUACUGGGCGUAAAGCGCGCGUAGGCGGUUUUUUAAGUCAGAGGUGAAAGCCCCGGGGGCUCAACCCCCGGAAUAGCCUUUGAAACUGGAAAACUAGAAUCUUGGGAGAGGUCAGUGGAAUUCCGAGUGUAGAGGUGAAAUUCGUAGAUAUUCGGAAGAACACCAGUGGCGAAGGCGACUGACUGGACAAGUAUUGACGCUGAGGUGCGAAAGCGUGGGGAGCAAACAGGAUUAGAUACCCCUGGUAGUCCACGCCGUAAACGAUGAUAACUAGCUGUCCGGGCUCAUAGAGCUUGGGUGGCGCAGCUAACGCAUUAAGUUAUCCGCCUGGGGAGUACGGUCGCAAGAUUAAAACUCAAAGGAAUUGACGGGGGUCAUAGCUGUUUUCCU
rnacentral:rRNA from 1 species